AAUAUUUUUCUCACACCAGUCAGGAAAUGUGAAAAUAGCACAAAAAUUAGAGAAAGAAAGACAACUCCAAUUUAUUGACUUGAAACUACAAAAAUGCUUGUUUUUGGCCCUUUAUUCCUAGACUGUUUGCCCCAUAACCCUUAAAAUAUAUCUCAACCUUCUACCUAUGGUAUUAAACAUUGUGGUACAACUUCAGAACAAUUGAAAUACUUAUACACAACUUAUUGUUCUGACACUAGAUAAAUGCUAUUUUUGGGCCCUUUGGGCCCCUUAUUCCUAAACCUUAGGGACCAUAACCCCAAAAAUUAAUCCCAAGCUUCCUUUUG
rnacentral:lncRNA from 1 species